AUGGUGAAAUGGUGGUGGAAACUUGAGACUAAAAAUGGGGUGUGGCAAGAUAUUCUGCGUGCUCGUUACUUACGUAACAAAACGGUGGCUGAGGUUACCCCAAGAUUUUCUGACUCCCCCUGUUGGAAAGCUCUGUUGAAAGUCAAGGAGAUUUAUUUGGCUGGGCGGAAAGUUAACAUUGAGGCUGGUAAUGUGGCUAGAGUGUGGGAUGAUCCCAUCAAGGGUCUCCCUCCCUUCCGGGAACAAUACCCGCAUCUCUUUGAGAUCUGUAAUGUCCCUGGAUGCACGGUGAGCCAGGUGUUGGGGGCUGAUGCUAACUCCUUCUUUAGGCGUAGACUGACCCCCGAGCUGCUCGGGCAAUGGGAGAGUAUUCACAAAACCAUUAGUGACUUACCUCUGACUAAGGAAAAUGAUUGGAUCUCUUGGAAGUUGACUCAGAAUGGCAAAUUUAGCACAAAAUCCGUGUACAAGUGGCUUGAGAAACCACUUAGUGGAUGCCAUUUCAAGUGGAUCUGGAGAGCAAAACUGCCGCUUAAAAUUAAAAUCUUUAUGUGGCAACUCUCUCAGGAUGCGGUCUUGACCAGGCAAGUGAUGAGAAAAAGAAACUGGCCAGGGAACCCUGUGUGUUCCUUUUGCAAUGAGGUAGAAACCUCACAACAUCUCUUCUUUACAUGCCAUGCGGCCAAAAUUGUGUGGCGAUCAAUCGGGAUGGUGCUUGGCACUGACAAAUGCCCUAAUAACUUGUUGGAAAUAUGCCCUAGAGGCAAUAAUAAAUGGUUAUUAUUAUAUUUCUUUGUUCAUGGUAAUUGUCUAUUAUUCAUGCUAUAA
rnacentral:rRNA from 1 species